GUUGAUAGGUCAGAGGUGGAAGCGUGGCGACAUGUGGAGCUGACUGAUACUAAUCGAUCGAGGACUUAACCACA
rnacentral:rRNA from 1 species